AAGCGAAACAAGCGAGGGUAUCCCUUGCUUGUCUGUCUGGUGUGGUUGCCAGGCACUGAUGAGCAGCCAAUU
rnacentral:hammerhead_ribozyme from 1 species